rnacentral:rRNA from 1 species
CUAGCUGGUCUGAGAGGAUGACCAGCCACACUGGAACUGAGACACGGUCCAGACUCCUACGGGAGGCAGCAGUGGGGAAUAUUGCACAAUGGGCGCAAGCCUGAUGCAGCCAUGCCGCGUGUAUGAAGAAGGCCUUCGGGUUGUAAAGUACUUUCAGCGGGGAGGAAGGGAGUAAAGUUAAUACCUUUGCUCAUUGACGUUACCCGCAGAAGAAGCACCGGCUAACUCCGUGCCAGCAGCCGCGGUAAUACGGAGGGUGCAAGCGUUAAUCGGAAUUACUGGGCGUAAAGCGCACGCAGGCGGUUUGUUAAGUCAGAUGUGAAAUCCCCGGGCUCAACCUGGGAACUGCAUCUGAUACUGGCAAGCUUGAGUCUCGUAGAGGGGGGUAGAAUUCCAGGUGUAGCGGUGAAAUGCGUAGAGAUCUG